UAUUACAUCCAUUAUUGUCUGAAGAUCGAAGCUGAGCACUCAGACGACUACAAGCGCGCGAGAAAGAGGGGACUAGUCAGGGAGAUUCAAGCUCGACGUCCGAUAUUUAGAGAAAGUAUUGAGAUCGAAGAUUCAAGCUCGAAGAACCCACUCAAUUUCUCAAACAACAUUCAAGCUCGUAGGUCUUGUUAAUUUGUUGAUUUCAAGAUCGAAGAUUAAAGCUCGAACUUGCAAGAUCGAAGAACACCGAAGCUUGAAUACUCAAGCUGGAAGGUAAAACCUAAAUUUGGCAUAUCGCAAAUCUAGGGUUCUAGCUAAAUUUUGGGGGAAAGGCUUGACUAGAAGUGGGUGCACUUGAAUUAUCUUCUUCUUGCUUCUAAGGCAAAACUAAACGAGAUGAAGCCAGGAAUGCGAUCGCAGGAAUUAAAAGAUGCUCUUGGGAUGCCUGAUAAUGCUCCUCCUUCAUGGCUCAUUAAUAUGCAGGUGGUGUGCACGUAGCAAAUGCGAUGUCUAUCAGGCUGAUUUCAAGUUAUGUGUGUUUGUGUGUGGAUCUUCCAGGGCCAACGCAAGAGGACCAUAUCAAAUACAGGGCCCUAGCGAUGCUUGAGAAGUUGAUAUCUGAGCCUUUCAAGAUUUAGGAUAUGGUUAUGCUUUGAAAGGUGAUAGUUUUAUAUUUGAUGGAAGGCUUCCAAUAAAGGUAGAGCUGUAGAGGUUCUUGUGCAGAUGUUCUUGAUUAUUGACAAGAACAAUGGCAGUUGUUUGAUUGCCACCAUAAGUUCUGGCUAGUGUGCUACUAAAGUUUUUUAUUUUUUUUAGUACUUGAAUCUUUAGUAGUUUAAUGAUGCGGUGAUGCGGCCUUUCUCUCAUUUCAGUAUUAUAGAAAGAAAUCUAGUUGAUUACUUUACGAAGAUACAAAAACUUACUUACUCUUUCUUUCAUAUGGCCUGUUUGGCUUCAAAUAAUUGUCUUUAGGAACGUAAGCACCAAUGCACUGUCUGUUAUCUACCUGCUUGUAUACUUCGGGGAUUUCCUAUAGACUGGAGAUCAGAUAUUGCGACGCCUGCAGUAGCAUAUGGAAGCAGAACUGGGGGAAGCACAAGGGCUGGAUUAUUUAGAACUCCAAUAUCAGGGGGAGUGUAGAGUGAAACUUCAGCUAAUGGCUUACCUAGACUAGCCUUAGCAUUUCACAAUUUGAUGGAACAGUUCCAUUCUGAAGUGUACUUGAAAAGCCUAAAAAGUUCCUUGGGACACUAGAAGCAACUUUAAAGUAGCUUAUGCUGGAUGCAAAGAGCGCACAUGGAUUUAAUAUCUAUCCCUGGCUCCAUCAGGCGGUGGGCAAUGUGGUUGCUGAAAUGGAAAGAAGGCGGCGAUGUGGACAAAGCCAAAGCACAACUCCUGGAAGAGAUGAUUAACAUAUGUGUAGGCCUUUUAUUAUCAAACAAGAUCUUGUCACAUCCUCACUACCAAUCUCUUUCUACCAUCACCAAUCGGCUCUACCAUCAGCUUAGUAUUUUGUUUAAAUUAUGUAGACUCAGUCUUUUGUUUAAAUUUUGCCUUAGACUUUAAUGGCUAAUUUAUGUAUGCAAUUUAGAUUUGGAAUGUUUUGUAAGACUAUAUUGUAACAGCCAUAGUACCGAUUUUGGAUUGCUGGCUACUGAUACAAUUGGAUUGUUAAUUGACAAUUGAAAAUUGUGGCUAUAUGCCUGGCUAAUUGUAUGUAUUUGCAA